rnacentral:misc_RNA from 1 species
UCGCCCACCGAAGGGGAGUAGCUCCCACCCGUUCUCCACGAGGACGAAAUCGACAGGUCGUCAAUACGAAGACAACACUUCCGGCCUUUCGGGCAGCCCACGCUGCCGAGCAAGACCUUCGAUUAGAGC